rnacentral:rRNA from 1 species
CGGGACGGGUGAGUAAUGUCUGGGAAACUGCCUGAUGGAGGGGGAUAACUACUGAAACGGUAGCUAAUACCGCAUAACGUCGCAAGACCAAAGAGGGGGACCUUCGGGCCUCUUGCCAUCGGAUGUGCCCAGAUGGGAUUAGCUAGUAGGUGGGGUAACGGCUCACCUAGGCGACGAUCCCUAGCUGGUCUGAGAGGAUGGCCAGCCACACUGGAACUGAGACACGGUCCAG